rnacentral:lncRNA from 1 species
GAAAGGCAUAAUAUUUUGAUACUGAAAUUUUAAUUUAUUAUUAUUUUUAUUUAAAAUUUUGAAAUUGUUAUAAUUAAUUUUUAUAGUUUAAUUUAAUUGAUUAAAUUUUGAUAAAUUAUUGAUAUAGAAAUAAUAUGAAAGUUGAUUGUCAAUAUUUCACCGACUAAUUAGGUUAUUAAAUUUUAUUAUAAUAAUUCAGAAAGUUCUAGGUAAAAAAUUAUAAUAAAUUAAAAUUUAAGGUCCAGGACACCCCUGUAAUUUAAGAAUCAAAAGCUUAGCUACGAUUUGGUUCGGGGUUAAGAAAAAACUAGUUAUUCCAGGAAUUGGGUUAAGUUCAGGGUUAAGGUGAGGUUAGAGUAUUUUUGUGUUUGGUUGAGAAUUGGAGUUAGUUCAGGAUUAACGAAAAUAAUGUUUGGUUGGAGUAGGUGGAAUAAGAAGGAUAGUGAGUAAAAUAGUGUUUUCUUUAGUUGGAGUAGUGGAGUGGGGUGGGAUUAACUGGGGUUAGCUAACCCCACUUCAAAUGGGCUACCCCGGAUUAACCUAUUUGGGGUGGGGUUAG